rnacentral:misc_RNA from 1 species
GAUGAAGAACGUAGCGAAAUGCGAUAAGUAAUGUGAAUUGCAGAAUUCAGUGAAUCAUCGAAUCUUUGAACGCACAUUGCGCCCGCUGGUAUUCUAGCGGGCAUGCCUGUUCGAGCGUCAUUUCAACCCUCAAGCCCCCGGGCUUGGCGUUGGGGAUCGGCCGGGCCCUCCGGGGCCCCCGGGCGCCCCCGAAAUCUAGUGGCGGUCUCGCUGUAGCCUCCUCUGCGCAGUAGUAAAACACUCGCAACAGGAGCCCGGCGCGGUCCACUGCCGUAAAACCCCCCAACUUUUUAUAGUUGACCUCGAAUCAGGUAGGACUACCCGCUGAACUUAAGCAUAUCAAUAAGCGGAGGA